AACGAACGCUGGCGGCAUGCCUAACACAUGCAAGUCGAACGAGACCUUCGGGUCUAGUGGCGCACGGGUGCGUAACGCGUGGGAACCUGCCCUUAGGUUCGGAAUAACUCCCCGAAAGGGGUGCUAAUACCGGAUAAUGUCCUCGGACCAAAGAUUUAUCGCCUUUGGAUGGGCCCGCGUUGGAUUAGCUAGUUGGUAGGGUAAAAGCCUACCAAGGCGACGAUCCAUAGCUGGUAUGAGAGGAUGAGCAGCCACACUGGGACUGAGACACGGCCCAGACUCCUACGGGAUGCAGCAAUGGGUAAUAUAGGACUAUGGGCGGAAGCCUGAUGCAGCAAUGCCGGGUGAGUGAUGAAGGCCGUAGGGUUGUAAAGCUCUUUUACCCGGGAUGAUAAUGACAGUACCGGGAGAAUAAGCUCCGGCUAACUCCGUG
rnacentral:rRNA from 1 species